AAAAAAAGAAUUGAAAAAAGAAACGAAAAGAAAAGGAAAACUAAAAGAGGGCACAUUGUUGUUCUAUGCCCAUUUAACAAUUUUUUUCU
rnacentral:ribozyme from 1 species